CUGCAUAUAGAAAGCUUGAAUGAAAUAUAGUGUAGAAGUAAUCAAGGUCUAUACUACACCUGUGAGUGGUAACUGCAACAUGAGCAAGAAAAAACCAAGCCAGCUUUUGAGGCAACUGCCUGGGUUACAUUGGUCUCACCAGAGGCUGAGGCAAAGCAGCUGAAGCUCCUGCAGUUAGUUAUGCCUUCACUGCAUUGCUUCCCAGACUAAAUUAAGAAAUCAUACUUAAGAUGUCUGUUCUAUAAAUACCUCUGUUUUCAUUUAAAUGCACAUGUAGCCCAUUACAAAUAUCUCCUGUGACAAAUUGUUUAAUUGAAAUAUGCAUGGAACAGGUCAAAGAAAUAAUAUCAGUCUCCAGAGAGGAACAAAGUCAGACAGGGAAACCUUCCUGAAUUCUACCAAGGUCUUACACUCUUUUUUUUGGUGCAAGUGUAACAGAAUUAAGUAUCUUGGUUACAUUUUGUAUUGGAACUGUCUGUAUUGCUUUGAUAUGGUGCAGAAUUAAAAAAAAAAAAAAAAAGGAAAGAAAAAAGGGAGACCCAUUCUCUAAUCUAGUAGUAUCUCACACAGACAGUUGUGUCUGUGCAAGGCAGCAGAGUAGAAAAAAAGAAUCACAGGAGCAGGCAAGACUACCUUAAUAGUGUGGCUUAUUUUCAAUUAAUUGCAGGCUUAGAUGUUUGGUUUUUUUCUGAGGCCAAGUAGGCAGCAAUGAGUGCCCACUGGAUGCAUUCACUCCCAGCUGAAGAGACAUACUGCUUGAACCUCAGAGGAGAUUCCCCCUCCUACACCACACCCCCAAAAAGGAAAAAAUCCCAGGAGCUGCAAUUUCUUUAAGUACUAACUACUAAUUUAUUUGGAACCAUUUCCAAAGAACAGCAGGGGAUAGCUUCAAUGAAGAAAACAGGGAUUUCUGAGACAAAAUUGCAACAUUCUGAUUUAAUGAAAAAAAAGAGGAAGGCUAGGCUCCUUUAAACUUGAGUGACAAGACAUGCAGAUCUCAUUUUCCUUUCUAAAGAAACUGCUAGUGAAAGGGUCCGGACUGAGCAUGCUAGAGGAUGCAAGUACAGAGGUCAAUACUGUGUGAAACUCCUGUCAACUUCUUUACUAGAACUGUAAAACAAAGUUCAGCAUAACACCUUGAGCCCUACAAAUUGUAGAUAGUUGGGGUUUUUUUAAGCCAGGCAUUUACCCAGAUUGUUUUAUUGAAAGAAUUCUUCUAGUUCAAGUGAGCCAGAAAACCAAUUUAAUUGCACUUCUGUUUCUUGGGCCAGGGAAAAUUCAGGAACUUUACUCCAGCACUGGGGUUUUAAGGAAAAACAGGAACUUUCCAGUGAGACAAUGUAGACAAUAUAGACAAGCAUCUUGCAAACAGCAGACUCAUGCAGCAGUGCUAUUAUCCAAAAUGUGAAGCAACAAUAACUGCCUGGGCUAAAAAAUGUCUCAUCUCUAGGAGGAACUUCAGCCUUCAGAUCUGAUAUCUAAAUCUUUGCUUACCUAACUGUAUUAUUUAAUCAGAAAACUGCUUCCAGCCGUGAAGGAAGACCCUGAGCAGAAGAGGUAGAACACAUAACCGAGUACUCUGAGCAACCCUGGCAAAUGCCCCAACCCAACACUGCAGUAUCUGGGCAUCAGCUCAAGCAAUCCUUAUCACAAAAGGUGUAAGGUUUAAAUGCAAUGUGGCUGAAGGCCAUCCUAAGAGACCAAUGCACAGCCAAAAUGGGAGAAAAGAAUGUAAGCUGGUAGUACCAAGGCCAGUCCCGAGAGGAAGGACACCCUGGGCAUUAAAACACCUUUUACAGGCUUCUGUCCCAAGCAAUAGCAAGGAUUUAACCUAAUGGACCAACUCCGCUUUUUACCAAGCCUAAGAGUUACUGCAAAGGGGGUGAGCGAAAUCAAUUAAUUUAAAUAUGUAUCACAUGCACUGAGUGGCUGCACAUUUUCAUCUUAUUGCUUUUGGGGUUUCAGUGGUUUGUAAGCUCCCACAUGGCAUGAUCUUUCAUGACUGUCAAUAGCAGACCAUUAUUAUGGUCUUUCCCUCUGGUCUCUGUGCAUAUAUCUAGAUAAAAUAAUUCCUUUCAUUUAAGGCACAACAGAACUAAAGCUGCUACCUCAAAAAUAUUCCUAAACGUGCCUAGGAAAGUAGCAAACUAAGGGGCUAAAAUGGAAAUGUUAAACAUCCUCCACAAACCACAUUCACCUUCCAACAUGCAUUAGAAGGAAAUGUGUUGGUAAGUACUGUUGGAGUCACCUACACAGGAAGUUUUCUGACUCCACUCUGAUGGUUCACAUGCUGUCCUUUUAAGUAUUCAAUUUCUCAACUGGUUCACCCCUCACCCACAACUGCAGACAUUGUCUAAACUUCUAAAGUUUCCUUUGAAAUGAAAGAAAAUCUUAUUUUCUUUAACAGGGAGCAAAGGACAAAGGCAGAAAACUAUAUUGCUCUUUUUCACAUUGGUUCACAGAGCUUUCAGAGUGGUAAAAAGAAUACAAAGAGUAUUUUAUUUCACUUUCAUAACAUGGUUCUGCUUUCCACAUUAUAGAAGAAACACCAAAUUCUCCAUUAUCAGUUAAGACAGGUUUGUGCUUCAUUUUCAGAUAAUAUUGUCUUUUCUUCACUGAAAGCCUUCCUUGAAAGUUAUUCAAGUUUUCUGUUUGGUUGUUUUUGUUUUGGUGUUUUGGGGGUUUUUUUGUUUGUUUAAAGAAACUGUUGCUACUACAAUGAAAUAAACAAACCCAAACAUACCAAAGCACACAGCCUUUCAUUCUCUGCCUAGAAGCAGAUAAAUGUACAUUUCAUUGUAUUUACCUUCCUGUCCUUUGCUCCUUCUGAAAGAAAACAAGAUUUCUUUGAUGUUGUAUCAAAGUACAUUUUAGAGCUCUCAAGCAGUAGAUGAAACAGCAGGAAAAAAAAUCAACAAUUAAAUUCAAUCUGUGAACCAGCAGCAGAGUAGAAGGUAGUGUUGGACAGACCAAAAAAUUACCAGUGUUUCUCAUCCACUUAGAAGUUCAACAGUCAACCAAAAACAAUGGGGAGAAAGAAGCAUCAAGCACAAUAAACAAGUGGUAAGUUGAACCCUAGGAAGUCUCAAGAUAAGUUUGUCUGCUACAAGCCCCUACAAGGCUUUCCAAUUGCUACGUACUUCACAGACCAUAGGGAAAAGACAGCUCUUCAACACCUGGGUACUUCCAAGUAUGAGAUUGUCUAAAAGCUGAUUCUCACCACAGCUCAGCACUUAAAUAAGGAACGGGCAGGGCAGUUCCAUGAGGUAUCCAUUCUGAGAAAAAGUGCCCAUCCAAGUUAUGCUUCUUUGGCUCUGGCCAGGACACAUACAUAAGCAUAGCCAAAGGUACCACUAAGAUUGUUUUGGUAAGAUACUUAAGUUUUCUUUCACUGAUCAAAAGAGCUUGCAGAUUAUGCUGUAAACAGAGUAAAGGCUAGGCUCUACCCUUGUUUUUCCUCUGUUUAGGAAAUUACAGAUAAGUCCACCAACAUGCACCAAAAAAAAAAAGACUCACUGUGCAUGUGUAUAAAUGAUAUAUAUAUAAACUUACUCUAACAACUGUUCAAAAACCAAAAUAGCUAUUUAUCCUUUCUUUCUUCCUCCUUCUGUGCCUCUCCAAUAUUCCCUUUCAAACGAGGCAUAGUCUUAUUUCACCAAGCCUUCCUUCAGAAUUCAUUACUUCUGACAUGAAGACCCUUCCUUCCACAUCUGUAAGUCAGUAAUUAUAUCCGCCUCUUAUAGUGUGAGGCAUCAGAAAUAAGAACAUUUUAUUUUUCCAAAGCUAAGUCAUUUAUUAAAUCCUCAACUUUUCCAAGAUAAUACACACAAAAAGAUUAACAGGAAUUCAUCUGUCGACAGAUCAGACAAAGAGGUAAGUUUGGUUUUUUCCCCUCCCUUUGCACAUCUGCACAGGUAUUCUGAGAAAUCCAAUGCAAGUGUUUACUUCCCCCAGUGGCCACCUCACUAUUCUUUCUGAAUGCUUAGAUCAAAAGGUUGAAUGUGUGCAGUUUGUUUUACUGCACUGGUAUAGUCUUCAGGACACAGUUCUAGAGAUCACAAAGUAAAUCUAGCCACAACCAUUCUGAACAUUUCUAGCACUACAGUUCUGCUUCCUACGUUCCAGGUCUGUAGAUUCCACUUAGUCUAGUCAGAUGGGCAAACUCAAAUCUCUUGCUUGCCUUCUCAGCCUCACUUGGUUUCACUCGCAAUGCUUCCACCACCACCACUACACUUAUCAGCACUUUUCAGGGCAGAUACCUUCCUGCUAUUUAUCACGUAUUUCCACUGCAUAAUUAUAAGAAGCACACCCGACACACAGUAGCUAAGGGCCAGCUGGAAUUCAGUAAACUAUUAACUUAAAAUCACUCUAGGUAACAAUUUAUGAUUUGCCUUGGCAGGCAGCUAAGCCAAAGUGCUCUGAAUUUGUGGUCCAGCUUUAUUUCAGAGAACAAAGUUACCAGCUAAUCUUCAAGACUGAAAUACUUCCACCAUCCCCCCAGUGGCUUCAGAAGUAAUCUGCUAUUAUUCUAACAUGUUCUGUUGUUUGGUUUUGGUUUUUGUUUUUAAACCCUAGGCAAUGCCUUCUUAUAUACUGAAUGGGAGAGUAUGAAUAUAUGCAAAAUUUUAUUUCCAUUCACAUAUUUUACAGGCUUCUGACUAACUGUUCAAAAGAAGUUCUGGAAAAAUCAAGCUGCUAGCAAUAAUCCUGCUGUGAAAACAGAUCUGUAAAAGCAAUCAGGACGCAGUUCCAGAAGGAAAUCAAGUCUCAAAACAGAACUGAAAGACAGGCACAGAAAAAGCCAAGCCAAGGAAGGAGACAAACUGAAGGAGGUUCUGGAUCACAUCAGCUACCACUUGAAUUCUUGCUAUUGACACAACCCUCAUUCAUCUCGCUUGAGCCUGUUCCAAAGAUCACAUGAUGUCAUGAGUUCCGUCACAAGAACAAUACACUUCUUUCCUUUGACUGUAGACUCCCAGGAAUCAUAGAAUCUGACAAUAUUGGGAUGCUGAAGCCCUUUCAGCAUCCCAGCUUCCUCUUUAAAUCUUUGUCGCUCUGACUUGGACAGCUUCCGAUCCUAAUGAAAAGGAAAAGGUAUGUCAGAAAGCUUUGCUUUAUUUCUUACUCAGAGAAGCAGCAACUUGAAAAACAAUUAGGUACAGUGAACAAGUAAGAAUAAGUAGUUUAAAAUGCCAUUUUGUUUGCAAUUACCCUUAAAUACUCUAUUUAGAAGGCAUUAUAUUAUUCUCUUUUUUUUAUCAUGUGUUUUUCCUUACAAUCUGAUUGCUCUCAGAGGUAAGACUUGUGAGUCUGUAGAUUAUCUCCUCUUCCUGUUUCCUCUUCCCCCACUCUAAAGUCAUUGCCUGAUUUCAGGUGGAAAGGGGACAUAAUAUCCUCAGAUAUUCAAGUGUUCAAGAGUAGACAAAAUUGGAUCAUUUAAAGCAUCUCUCUCAGGUUGUACGUAACAAUAACCUUUAGUUAUUCCUAUGUGUAUGAUAUCCAGACCUCUGGUAACAGAUUGGCUUAACCCUCCAUACAGGGAGGGAGUAGAGUAUCAAACCUCUCUAACAUAUAGUAUGUAUUUAGAACUGUAGAAAUAUAAGGGAGUGAGUUGGAUUUUCUUUGAUUAAAAGCAUGACCUCAUGAUUAAGCAAGUUUCCUGUAAUCUAGCAUCAAGGAAAACAAAAACAUAACUCAAACUAGAGACAGAAAGCAAUCUUUUGGCCAGAGACAAAUCACAAAAAAGCAUUCCUGGACAAUAUUGCUGUAUUAUCCACCAACAACUGGCUAUCAAAUAUUGUCAAGCUAUUACCAGAAUAAGCUGCACAUCUCAAGAGAAAACAGUCUCCUUGUGUCAUUCAGUGUUGUAAACUUACCAAUGCAUUACCAAUGCACUGGUCACACUAGUCAGACUGAUCAACUGACAUAAAUGGGAUCCAUAUGCAGCUUGUAUUAAAAGAAAAAAAAAAUCAGGAUACGCUUAAAGUCCAAAAUUUUAGAAUCGUUGCUCCUAACAGUUAUUGUGGAACAACCUCUUUGUCAAAUCUGAGUAAUAAUUUUAAGUCACUUCAUUCCAUAUUUCCUUUUCAAUUAAAAGGAGGUAGUAAAAAACACACAGGCUUUACUUAUAUGGCUCACAACCUCCUGUUGUCCCCUAGGCAAUAAUUCUUCCUUUGUUUACAGGUGAUGCAAUUUCUCAAUACCAUUCAGCAUGCUAAUAUCUAAACCAUCCUAUAUUCAACUUAGAUCAUUAACUUUAAGAGGUUCACAGAGUAUCUUUGGACAUGAACAAACGUCAUUUACAGGUGAAGCUCCAGUUUUCAGUUCCAGUUUGAAAAUAGGUUUGAAAUCACCUCAGGGAUCAGUAGCUUCUUAGAGCCUAUGAAUCUCAAUCACGUACACACUUUUACACUUGCUUAGGAAGAUGCUAAAUUCUUAACCCUCACAAAUUUAGUCUAUAGCCGUCAAAAGCAUUCAAUCCUGCAACUAUUUCCCUCUGCAGAAAUUAUCACUACCACCUCUUCUCACUCCUGCAUAAGCAUACUUGCACAAACAAAUUUCAAUAUAAUGUGUUUGCAGAAACACUCCACAAACAUUUAAGUAUUCCUGUCUGCUUAGGUGUUGGGGUUUAAUAUGGAAAUAACACUUCCAUUUGAGCUAUCUUACCCAUCUAAUAGCUUUCCAUUCUUUAUAAUAAACAGGGCAGUACAAGUUCUGUUCAAAACCAAUUAAUUUUGACUGCUACAAACAGCUGUGAUACAGAAAAGCAGUGAGUUGCAAUAGGGACAGUCAGCAGACCAUGCACACAUUUCUAAGAAACAUACAAUGCUUCAAGCAAUACAAAAUUACAACAUAAUAAUUCUUACAGCCUUCUCAGCCUCUGCACUUGAUCCAUAUAAACCACAUUUUAAAAAUAAUGUAUAGCUGUAAAUACAAUUAUUAUAUAUGGUGAUUAUAAAAAUUAGGCUGCAACAAUUACUUUUAUAUCACUUAAAUUUAGCUAUGUAAUAUGAACACAUGCACUCAUUUUUGUCCAAAAUCUAGAUCUUAGAUAUACAUUUUGAUUACAUUUCCUUUAUUUUGUGCAUUCUAGCAAGUUAUCUACCACAAACACUACUAACCAGUUUUAGACUACACUUGACAUUAAAUUCUUAUCUUAAUCUACAUAAGCCUAAUCUCCCUUAACAGUCUUAUUCAGUUUUCCCUACCACUGUACUACUAGCCUCAAAUAGAAACUAACAAGUGGUAAUCAUUCUUAUCAAUGAACAGACUCUUAACAAGCGUGUAUAUUUUGACUCAUUUCUCUUUCUGGUCACAUCAAUGGUAGCAUCGUGUUCCUGCAAACAUAUCUGUGACGUUUGAAACAGACACUCAACACUUCAGCACUGGUAUUAAAAAAAACCUACCAAGACAGUGACAAUAUACUAAGUAAUUCAACACUUCUUUGGAAGUCACAGCGUCCUAAUGAUCUGGGACAAGUUUGGGCACAAACACUGGCCAACAAAUUUCACCCUGGGAAGACAGCGAUGUUUUUGCAACCAAGGAAACAUUGCACCCUUCAGUAGCAUAUUGCAGCAGCAAAAGUGAACAUUAAACAGAGCUGUGAGAGAAAGACAGAGAGGCCACUUGUUUCAUAAGACUAGCAAUGCAUACUACCUUUAACCACCCUCAUUUCCUUGGAUACAGAACCCAUACACUCAUCCAUAACAGUUAUUUAUAUUUCUUUCCCUAAAGGAAUACUAACGCUAGGUAGCAGAAAAGGGUGAAUAUACUUCAAAAAAAACCCCUAGUGUUCAGCAAAAUACUAAAUCUCACAUAGAAUUAUACCAACAAAAUGAAUCUGUAUGCACAAUGACUAGUUAUACUUGUACGAACUACAUUCUAAUGAACCCUGCAAAGUUAGCCUACAGGCUAACAUGAUUUAAAAAUGACAAGUACACUUUCAAAACUUGAGUAGUCCCUACACCAGAACCUUAAAACAUAUUAGACAGUAAGACUUCCCAGACUGCAUAGAGACAGACUAGAACAAAGCCCAUCCCAAACACUACAUUUUGGCAUCCUUUGAGCGGUUAGUAUGGGCAAAUGUGACAACUUUAUGCUCGCUCUUGUACAAAGAUGUGGUUUAAGCAGCUGCAACUACUAAAAUAUUGAAAUAAGAAGAAAAUAGAGCACCAUAUGUAAUUUGGGUGACUGAGAAAUGGUGCUACCAGCCACAUUAGGUAUGAAUACUUGGGGAAAGGCAGGGGAAUGAGAACAUCUUGGUAUCACAUGAAAUCCACACACCAAGUUGCUGUACAGCACAGUAUAAUCACUUAAUGAGAAUUUAAGAGAGCAUUUUUCAAGAAUUUGGGAAGGUGGCAGCUUUCACAAUCCUCAGUUAUAAGUGUACACUUCAAGAGACUCAAAAGCCCAGACGUCUUUCCAACAAGGCAGCUACUUGGGGCAAUACUUGGAUUCCACUGUGGCCUUUGAGCAGAAGUCUGCAGGAAUGCAAGACCCUUGACUCCAUCUCCACAUCUAA